GGCGCCCUUAGCUCAGUUGGAUAGAGCAACGGCCUUCUAAGCCGUGGGUCGCAGGUUCGAAUCCUGCAGGCGCGCC
rnacentral:tRNA from 1 species